GUGGGGAAUUUUGGACAAUGGGCGCAAGCCUGAUCCAGCAAUGCCGCGUGCAGGAAGAAGGCCUUCGGGUUGUAAACUGCUUUUGUACGGAACGAAACGGUCCUGGUUAAUACCUGGGGCUAAUGACGGUACCGUAAGAAUAAGCACCGGCUAACUACGUGCCAGCAGCCGCGGUAAUACGUAGGGUGCGAGCGUUAAUCGGAAUUACUGGGCGUAAAGCGUGCGCAGGCGGUGCUGUAAGACAGGCGUGAAAUCCCCGGGCUCAACCUGGGAAUUGCGCUUGUGACUGCAGUGCUGGAGUACGGCAGAGGGGGAUGGAAUUCCGCGUGUAGCAGUGAAAUGCGUAGAUAUGAGGAGGAACACCGAUGGCGAAGGCAGUCCCCUGGGCCUGUACUGACGCUCAUGCACGAAAGCGUGGGGAGCAAACAGGAUUAGAUACCCCGGUAGUCC
rnacentral:rRNA from 1 species